rnacentral:rRNA from 1 species
AAUGAACGCUGGCGGCAUGCCUAACACAUGCAAGUCGAACGAGACCUUCGGGUCUAGUGGCGCACGGGUGCGUAACGCGUGGGAACCUGCCCUUAGGUUCGGAAUAACUCCCCGAAAGGGGUGCUAAUACCGGAUAAUGUCUUCGGACCAAAGAUUUAUCGCCUUUGGAUGGGCCCGCGUUGGAUUAGCUAGUUGGUAGGGUAAAAGCCUGCCAAGGCGACGAUCCAUAGCUGGUCUGAGAGGAUGAUCAGCCACACUGGGACUGAGACACGGCCCAGACUCCUACGGGAGGCAGCAGUGGGGAAUAUUGGACAAUGGGCGAAAGCCUGAUCCAGCAAUGCCGCGUGAGUGAUGAAGGCCUUAGGGUUGUAAAGCUCUUUUACCCGGGAUGAUAAUGACAGUACCGGGAGAAUAAGCUCCGGCUAACUCCGU